ACAACGACUCUCGGCAACGGAUAUCUCGGCUCUCGCAUCGAUGAAGAACGUAGCGAAAUGCGAUACUUGGUGUGAAUUGCAGAAUCCCGUGAACCAUCGAGUCUUUGAACGCAAGUUGCGCCCAAAGCCUUCGGGCCGAGGGCACGUCUGCCUGGGUGUCACGC
rnacentral:rRNA from 1 species